CUCGACAUUGCAAAAACUUUUAACUAUCACAUUUUUUUUUCUAAAACUAUGCUCGUACGACAUCUCAUGGACAAAUAUGUUUGGAAUGAUCAAUUUUUUGAAUUUUUGAGACGGUGCGUAGAAAACCAAUUCAACUUCGACUUUAUGCAAAAUUUAUGGCUAUAAGUUUGUUUCUGAAACCAAGCUUAUACAACUAACUUCCUUUGGGCUAAUAUGUUGGGAAUGGUUAUUAUUUUGAAUUUUCAAGAUGGUGGGCAAAAACUGUUCGAACCUCAAAUUUGCGCAAACUUUAUGAUCGUUUUUUCUUUGCGAAAACUGGCUUAUACAACUUCCACAGGUAUAAUAUGUUGGGUAUGAUCAAUGUUUUGAAUUUUUGAGAUAAU
rnacentral:lncRNA from 1 species